ensembl:snoRNA U3 Small nucleolar RNA U3
AAGGCUAUGCUUUCAGGGAUCAUUUCUAUAGUUUGUUACUAGAGAAAUUUCUCUGAUCAUGCAGAGUACCAAGUAGUGGGGAUUACAGGUGCAUACCAC